GUCCACGCCCUAAACGAUGUCAACUGGGUGUUGGGGAGCGAUUCCUCAGUACCGUAGCUAACGCGUGAAGUUGACCGCCUGGGGAGUACGGCCGCAAGGUUAAAACUCAAAGGAAUUGACGGGGACCCGCACAAGCGGUGGAUGAUGUGGAUUAAUUCGAUGCAACGCGAACAACCUUACCUACCCUUGACAUAUCCGGAAGCCCGCUGAAAGGCGGGUGUGCCCGAAAGGGAAUCGGAACACAGGUGCUGCAUGGCUGUAGU
rnacentral:rRNA from 1 species